UACGUAGGUGGCAAGCGUUAUCCGGAAUUACUGGGCGUAAAGCGCACGCAGGCGGUCUUUUAAGUUUGACGUGAAAGCUCCCGGCUUAACUGGGAGAGGUCGUUGAAUACUGGAUGGCUUGAGUUUGGGAGAGGGAUGCGGAAUUCCAGGUGUAGCGGUGGAAUGCGCAGAUAUCAGGAGGAACACCGAUGGCGAAGGCAGUUCUCUGGGCCGUAACUGACGCUGAGGAGCGAAAGCGUGGGGAGCGAACAGG
rnacentral:rRNA from 1 species